rnacentral:rRNA from 1 species
GUCUACGGCCAUGCCACCCUGAACACGCCUGAUCCCUUCUGAUCUCAGAAGCUAAGCAGGGUCAGGCUUGGUUAGUACUUGGAUGGGAGACCACCUAGGUGCUGUAGGUA